CCUCUCAAAAUUGAAAAAGAGAACGUUGACUGUAGCCCCAUUGUACGAACUUAAUAGGGAUGUAAGUUCCUACUCAACCCGUUCACAUUUGUGAAGAACCCGACCCGAUACGGCAAAUACGAUUUUCGUUUGCUCUCCUCUUUCAUCGCUCGAUUGCUCACGUAGAGUCUCUCGUGCGCCGACGAAGCUUUUUCAUCCUUCUUCGCCACUGGCUUUCGCUUUUUCUCCAUGGCUUUUUCGCUUUUCUCUGCCUUUUUCGGUUUUGUACUUGCUGUUGCUGCUGUUAGCGUUGGAGGAUGAUCGUUAUGGUUGUGAUGAUUUAAGAAGACGAAGGCAUCCUUCCCGUCGCUGUUGCUUCGGAGUACCAAUUCUCGAAACCUCCUUAGCUUUGAAAAUC
rnacentral:misc_RNA from 1 species